AGCUCCUUGCCGCCCUGGGAACUGCCCGACCGACUCGCGCCGCUCUGCGGAGGAGGAAGCGGACGGUGCUUCUGGGAUGCUGCCUCCCCUGACCUUCGGGCAGGUUUGCAGAGGGUGCCUCCCAAGCGCUCAAGUAGAAGCCUCCCAAGUACAGUGCUCUGCACACACAGAUGAAUGUUUCCCUGCUUAAAAAAAAGGCUUUCCUGGAACAUAAUCACUUUGCAAACAGAGGAAGUACCUGUGAUGGAAGAAAAGGAAAGGUGAGCAAAACAUACUGUACUGAAGUUACUACUCAUGACCCUGAGGGUUGUUUUUUUUUUAGUAAGAGCAGCUGCUCUGGGAACUUUCCCAAGUGUGAUCUAGAGAGUUUAAAUGGAAGAUUUACUGACACCAGAAUCCCGGCGGCACCAGCGGACGAAGUCAACUGGUCUUUAAAUGGACAUCUCUCCGCUUCGCCCACACAUAAAAACUAAUCUCAUAAUCAGUCUUGAAAAUGUGUUGCUGGACAGAAAGUGGGAAGGACUUUCAGGGGCUUGGACUUUCCUCUCACCACUGCAUGAGAAGUAAUCCUUGCUGGUACUUUAUAUGUUCUCUGUCACUUUUCCAGUGCCUACACUCCUCUGAACACAAUGGGUACUUAAUAAAUACUUGAUGUUGA